UCGGCUUCUGCUCUCAAAUGAAGCUUGCGUCUGGCUCUUCGGUUCAGCUCAACUCGAGUAAGUUUUUUUGUUUUCGAUUGCCUUUCUGCAAGAAAUGCAUUGGAUAUAUCCCCAUCAACCAUAUCAUCCUCAUUUCCACCAUCAUUAGCAUUGGCAUCCUCAUCGAUAUUAUCAUCUUCGUUUCCACAAUACACUUCAACGAAAUGAAUAUCUUCUUCACUGAUAAGUUCACCAGGAACAAUAAGUGGUACUGGUUGUGGUCCCAAUUCUUUUGUAUACAUCUUUU
rnacentral:misc_RNA from 1 species